GGUGCCGUAACUCAAUUGGCUAGAGUACUCGACUGUCUCUCGAGUGGUUGUGGGUUCAAGUCCCAUCGGUACCG
rnacentral:tRNA from 1 species